rnacentral:rRNA from 1 species
UACGUAGGGUGCAAGCGUUAAUCGGAAUUACUGGGCGUAAAGCGUGCGCAGGCGGUUCUAUAAGACAGAUGUGAAAUCCCCGGGCUCAACCUGGGAACUGCAUUUGUGACUGUAGAGCUGGAGUACGGUAGAGGGGGAUGGAAUUCCGCGUGUAGCAGUGAAAUGCGUAGAUAUGCGGAGGAACACCGAUGGCGAAGGCAAUCCCCUGGACCUGUACUGACGCUCAUGCACGAAGGUCAGGGGAGCAAACGGG